UCAUAAAGUAGAGCGACUUAACCUCGAAAGUCAUGUGUUGAUCAGAUCUCAGAUUCUAUGGUUUUUUAGUUUUAAUUCUUCCCAGCAUACAAACUUAUUUUUUGGUUUCCCACACAUUGUGAUUUUGUUUUCUUGUUUUGUGUGUUUAGCAAUGUUCAAAGCUGCUAGAGGACACCAUCGAGCAAUUCACACAAGGUGAAAUUACGAUUCUUAUAUGCACAAAUAUAGUAGAAAGCGGGCUUGAUAUUCAAAAUGCAAAUACCAUCAUAAUUCAGGAUGUUCAACUAUUUGGUCUAAGCUCAAAUGUAUCAGUUGCGUGGAAGAGUGGGCAGGGCUGAUAAUGAAGCUCGUGCGCAUUUAUUUUACCCUGACAAGUCAAUGUUAACUGAUCAAGCGCUGGAGAGGCUAGCAGCUUUAGAAGAAUGCCAAGAACUUGGCCGAGGUUUCCAACUUCCAGAGAGAGACAUGGGUAUAUGAGGCUUUGGUACCAUCUUUGGUGAGCAACAGACUGGGGAAGUUGGGAAUUUUGGAAUUGAUUUCUUCUUCGAAAUGCUUUUUGAAAGUUUGUCCAAGGUUGACGAGCACCGUGUAAUUUCAGACCAGUCAGUACAGAUUGAUUUAAAUAUAAACCUUCAUCCCCCUUCUAACUACAUAAAUUCCCUGGAGAACCCCAUGGAAAUUACUAAUGAAGCUGAGAAAGCUGCAGAGACAGAUAUUUGGAGUUUAAUGCAAUUUACAGAAAAUUUGCGUUGCCAAUAUGGAAAAGAGCCUUGCUCUAUGGAAAUUCAAUUGAAGAAGCUUUACAUUAGGAGAAUGGCAGCAGAUAUUGGGAUAACGAGAAUUUACGCAUCUGGAAAGAUGGUUGGAACGGAAACAAAUAUGAGUACAAAGGUUUUCAAGCUGAUGGCAGAUUCAAUGUCAUCUGAUAUCCACAGAAACUCUUUGGUUUUUGAUGGAAACCAAAUAAAGGCUGAACUGCUUCUGGAGCUACCGAGAGCGCAACUGCUAAAUUGGGUCUUUCAAUGCAUAGCAGAACUUCAUGCUUGCCUGCCUGCCCUUACAAAAUACUAGUAUUGAUUGCUCUGCAGAAUUAGCUCUUCCAUUAACUUUCCCUUUUGCACAGUUUCAUCAGUGAUUCUUGAAGAGUGAAACAAGAAUGCAUAACUCCAUGUUUCAUUACACUCCGGUCCAAACCGCUCGGUUGCAGAAGCUGUAUUAUACCCAAGUCAUGCCAGGUGGUUGGGAUUGUACUGAGGAUGUAAUGGUUGGAUUAAGCUGUUCUCGCCGCUACAAAGAACAGUUUUAUCACGGAGAAGACACAACGUAUCAGCGAUGAUGACAAGUAUCAUACCAUCCGUUCAGCAUGACCAAGAUGAACAGUAUGAAUUCAGCAAGGGGAUAGAACUCUGCUCAUUUUCUUCCCUAUUGUUUUGCAGAACCUGGUGGGUGCAUAAGGAAUCAUUAAUGGUAUUAACUACAUCUUAGCAUGUAUUUUUGAGAAAUGCAAGAUACAAGGAUGGAAGGUUUCGUUGUUGUUUACAGGUGAUUCAGCGAAACAUUAUAUUCCUUUCAGAAAUCCUUUGUCCCUUUGAAAAUGUUCAGCGGUAUUUAAAGUUAAUUUUUAAUAUUAAAAAAAAAUACUGAAGUUA